UAAUCUUGUUCUCUCCCAAAG
ensembl:piRNA 21ur-7398 ncRNA